GAACUUCCGACCAAAUGAAGAAACCCUUUCCAAGCAUUCUAUCUUGGGUCCAGGUGGACUUGGUGGACAGUGGCAGCCACCAAUUAAUGUUACAAAGGUUCAAUAUCCAAGCAAUAUAGAUUUUUCGCCAGUUGAAAUCCCAAGCUUCCAACAAUUUGUAGAUAG